UCGAGCGGAACGAUCCUAGCUUGCUAGGAGGCGUCGAGCGGCGGACGGGUGAGUAAUGCAUAGGAAUCUGCCCGGUAGUGGGGGAUAACCUGGGGAAACCCAGGCUAAUACCGCAUACGCCCUACGGGGGAAAGCAGGGGAUCUUCGGACCUUGCGCUAUCGGAUGAGCCUAUGUCGGAUUAGCUAGUUGGUGAGGUAACGGCUCACCAAGGCUGCGAUCCGUAGCUGGUCUGAGAGGAUGAUCAGCCACAUCGGGACUGAGACACGGCCCGAACUCCUACGGGAGGCAGCAGUGGGGAAUAUUGGACAAUGGGCGAAAGCCUGAUCCAGCCAUGCCGCGUGUGUGAAGAAGGCCUUCGGGUUGUAAAGCACUUUCAGUGAGGAAGAAAGCCUUGAGGUUAAUACCCUCGAGGGAGGACAUCACUCACAGAAGAAGCACCGGCUAACUCCGUGCCAGCAGCCGCGGUAAUACGGAGGGUGCGAGCGUUAAUCGGAAUUACUGGGCGUAAAGCGCGCGUAGGCGGCUUGAUAAGCCGGUUGUGAAAGCCCCGGGCUCAGCCUGGGAACGGCAUCCGGAACUGUCAGGCUAGAGUGCAGGAGAGGAAGGUAGAAUUCCCGGUGUAGCGGUGAAAUGCGUAGAGAUCGGGAGGAAUACCAGUGGCGAACGCGGCCUUCUGGACUGACACUGACGCUAAGGUGCGAAAGCGUGGGU
rnacentral:rRNA from 1 species